rnacentral:tRNA from 1 species
GCGGUUCUAGCCCAACUGGCAGAGGCACCAGGUUGAGGGCCUGCUCAGUGGGGGUUCGACUCCCCCGGACCGCACCA